rnacentral:tRNA from 2 species
AGUUAAUGAACUUGUAAAAGUAUAUAUUUUGAAAAUAUAAUAAAGGAAUAAAUAUCCUAUUAACUU